rnacentral:rRNA from 1 species
CUGGUGGGUAGUUUGACUGGGGCGGUCUCCUCCUAAAGAGUAACGGAGGAGCACGAAGGUUGGCUAAUCCUGGUCGGACAUCAGGAGGUUAGUGCAAUGGCAUAAGCCAGCUUGACUGCGAGCGUGACGGCGCGAGCAGGUGCGAAAGCAGGUCAUAGUGAUCCGGUGGUUCUGAAUGGAAGGGCCAUCGCUCAACGGAUAAAAGGUACUCCGGGGAUAACAGGCUGAUACCGCCCAAGAGUUCAUAUCGACGGCGGUGUUUGGCACCUCGAUGUCGGCUCAUCACAUCCUGGGGCUGAAGUAGGUCCCAAGGGUAUGGCUGUUCGCCAUUUAAAGUGGUACGCGAGCUGGGUUUAGAACGUCGUGAGACAGUUCGGUCCCUAUCUGCCGUGGGCGCUGGAAGAUUGAGGGGGGCUGCUCCUAGUACGAGAGGACCGGAGUGGACGCAUCACUGGUGUUCGGGUUGUCAUGCCAAUGGCACUGCCCGGUAGCUACAUGCGGAAGAGAUAAGUGCUGAAAGCAUCUAAGCACGAAACUUGCCCCGAGAUGAAUCUUCCCUGAGCCUUUAAGGCUCCUGAAGGAACGUUGAAGACGACGACGUUGAUAGGCCGGGUGUGUAAGCGCAGCGAUGCGUUGAGCUAACCGGUACUAAUGAACCGUGAGGCUUAACCUUACAAC